CGGGUUGCAUGAAAGAUAUCCUAUUAAGCUGUUAGUACUGGAAAGACAAAGUGGAUGAAGAAUGAAUUUUGCAGAAAGUCAGGGACCCUGAAACAGACGACCUGGAACUUGGCCUACGUCAAGUUGAUUGUUGAUGCAAGGGACAGUGUACGUGAGGAGUGACUAUCUGAGCUGACCCUUGGAUGAAGCCAGAUCUCCAUUGACUAACACUUUCCCCAGUUCACCCACCCAUCCCUGGAUAACCAGACUCCAGACAACUGAAGCCUUCUUAGGCUUCAG
rnacentral:lncRNA from 1 species